GAUGAACGCUGGCGGCGUGCCUAAUACAUGCAAGUCGAACGAACAGACGAGGAUCUUUCUCCUCUGACGUUAGCGGCGGACGGGUGAGUAACACGUGUAUAACCUACCUAUAAGACUGUUAUAACUUCGGGAAACCUGAGCUAAUACCGGAUAAUAUAUUGAACCUCAUGGUUCAAUAGUGAAAUACGGUUUUUCUUUCACUUAUAGGUGUAUCCGCGCCGCAUUAACUAGUUGGUAAGGUAACGGAUUACCAAGGCAACGAUGCGUAGCCGACCUGAGAGGGUGAUCGGGCACAUUGGAAGUGAGACACGGUACAGACUCUUACGGGAGGACGCAGUAGGGAAUCUUACGCAAUGGGCGAAAGACUGACGGAGCAACGCCGCGUGAGUGAUGACGGUCUUAGGAUCGUAAAACUCUGUUAUUAGGGAAGAACAAAUGUGUAAGUAACUAUGCACGUAUUGACGGUACCUAAUCAGAAAGCCACGGCUAACUACGUG
rnacentral:rRNA from 1 species